rnacentral:misc_RNA from 1 species
GGCACUCCCCUGAAUAAUGCUCGAUUUUUCCUGAAUUGUAGCACAAGGAUCUCUAGAAGGCCAAGGUUGCUCCCACUGUCGGAUGGGGCUGGAAAUGUCUUUGCAAGAUCCUGUCCCGGAACUAGCUAAUAGAUGAUCUUUAAGGCCCUUCACUGCUUUAAGUCUCUGUGCUUCAUCCAGAUAACUAUAUCGUUGGCCUAGUUUCUCGAGUUCAUGAAGUCUUUC